AUUAAUCUUUAAGAAAUGGGAAAUCAUUGCAAAUGAAAAGCAGAGGAGAUGGACAAAAACAAGGCAAAGUAAAAUCAGAAUCAUAUGAUUAAGAAAGUAUAAGGUAAAUAAGAACAAAUUAUAGAGAAAAAGUCACCGACAGAAUCUCAAGGGGGAGGAAGUCUUCACGCCGCGCAACUCCACGCCCCGCAUGACUUGGGGCUUUCACUGUCCUCGUCUCUGAUUACACGUUUCAAGAUCAGGAUCACAGGUCAUCCCCAGCCGCCACUACAGUCCGGGACCCUGGUGCGGAUCACGUGGCUGAGGAUUGUAAAGAAUCCUCCUGGAAGCACGUGAUGACUGAGAGACCAAACCCAAUAACCCAAGGAUGUAUUAUCA
rnacentral:misc_RNA from 1 species